GGUGGCUCAGUGGUAGAGCAUAUGCCUUGCAUGCAUGAGGCCCUGUGUUUGAUUGCUCAGCACCA
rnacentral:tRNA from 1 species